GGCGAGAUGAUGGAGCGGUCUAACAUGCUGUCUUAAGGAGAAGAUUUCCCCUUAUCCCUAUAAGCUAAAUCAUCCUCGGCAGUCCUUCGGGGCCUGGGUUCGAAUCCCAGUCUCGUCA
rnacentral:tRNA from 1 species